GACGAACGCUGGCGGCGUGCUUAACACACGCAAGUCGAACGAUGAAGUUCCUUCGGGAAUGGAUUAGUGGCGAACGGGUGAGGAACACGUGAGAAACCUGCCUUUCAUUUUGGGAUAACUCCGGGAAACCGGGGCUAAAACCGAAUACUCCGUCUCGACGGCAUCGCUGAGCCGGGAAAAAAUUUUGAUGAAAGAUGGUCUCGCGGCCUAUCAGCUAGUUGGUGAGGUAAUGGCUCACCAAGGCAACGACGGGUAGCCGGCCUGAGAGGGCGACCGGCCACACUGGGACUGAGACACGGCCCAGACUCCUACGGGAGGCAGCAGUGGGGAAUAUUGGGCAAUGGGCGCAAGCCUGACCCAGCGACGCCGCGUGAGGGAUGAAGGCCUUCGGGUUGUAAACCUCUUUCAGUAGGGAAGAAGCGAAAGUGACGGUACCUAAAGAAGAAGCACCGGCUAACUAUGUGCCAGCCGCCGCGGUAA
rnacentral:rRNA from 1 species